rnacentral:misc_RNA from 1 species
GAUGAAGAACGCAGCGAAAUGCGAUAAGUAAUGUGAAUUGCAGAAUUCAGUGAAUCAUCGAAUCUUUGAACGCACAUUGCGCCCCCUGGUAUUCCGGGGGGCAUGCCUGUCCGAGCGUCAUUACAACCCUCAAGCUCAGCUUGGUAUUGGGCCCCGCCGCUCCGGCGGGCCCUAAAGUCAGUGGCGGUGCCGUCCGGCUCCGAGCGUAGUAAUUCUUCUCGCUCUGGAGGUCCGGUCGUGUGCUCGCCAGCAACCCCCAAUUUUUUUCAGGUUGACAUCGGAUCAGGUAGGGAUACCCGCUGAACUUAAGCAUAUCAAUAAGCGGAGGA